UACGGAGGAUGCGAGCGUUAUCCGGAUUUAUUGGGUUUAAAGGGUGCGUAGGCGGACGCUUAAGUCAGCGGUAAAAUUGCGGGGCUCAACCUCGUCGAGCCGUUGAAACUGGGUGCCUUGAGUGGGCGAGAAGUACGCGGAAUGCGUGGUGUAGCGGUGAAAUGCAUAGAUAUCACGCAGAACUCCGAUUGCGAAGGCAGCGUACCGGCGCCCAACUGACACUGAGGCUCGAAAGCGUGGGGAGCAACCAGG
rnacentral:rRNA from 1 species